CUUAACCGAAUCUCCUCUCAGAUUGACCUCGGAUCAGGUAGGGAUACCCGCUGAACUUAA
rnacentral:rRNA from 1 species